rnacentral:rRNA from 1 species
GAUGAACGCUGGCGGCGUGCCUAAUACAUGCAAGUCGAGCGAACGGACGAGAAGCUUGCUUCUCUGAUGUUAGCGGCGGACGGGUGAGUAACACGUGGAUAACCUACCUAUAAGACUGGGAUAACUUCGGGAAACCGGAGCUAAUACCGGAUAUUAUUUUGAACCGCAUGGUUCAAAAGUGAAAGACGGUCUUGCUGUCACUUAUAGAUGGAUCCGCGCUGCAUUAGCUAGUUGGUAAGGUAACGGCUUACCAAGGCAACGAUGCAUAGCCGACCUGAGAGGGUGAUCGGCCACACUGGAACUGAGACACGGUCCAGACUCCUACGGGAGGCAGCAGUAGGGAAUCUUCCGCAAUGGGCGAAAGCCUGACGGAGCAACGCCGCGUGAGUGAUGAAAGUCUUCGGAUCGUAAAACUCUGUUAUUAGGGAAGAACAUAUGUGUAAGUAACUGUGCACAUCUUGACGGUACCUAAUCAAAAAGCCACGGCUAACUACGUG